GUUACAUUCUCCAUACAGCCACAUACCUGCACAGCCAUACAUCUCUACAUACAGUUACAUGUUCAGGAACCUGCCUAUGGAUCCCAGGUCCUUCUGUGUGAAUAGAAGUCCUCACUGCUUUGGAGCCAGGCAUUGACAAACGCAGGUCUCAAGCUGCUUGGAAAAGACAUGACACAUGUUGGAGUUGGAGGCUUGAGAAGCAGGAUGGUUAAUCUCAUGGACAGGCUUCAUUAACUUCUAUCUCACAUUUUUCCAUGGAAGCAGUCCAGGCCAGACCUCACUAAGGCCUCUCCAACACAUGGAGGCUAAUGGAUGAGUGGGUGGAAGGCUAAGAGAAUCACACAUGGCUGAAAGGCUGGAUUGAGAGAAGCUGGCAUAGACUCCAGAUCCUUCAAGACAAUUUUAUGUUCAUUCAGAUUUACCAAGACUGUUAUCCAAAUACAUUCAGUUCUCUCAUUAUGUCCUAGUCACCACAAAGCACAGAUGAAUAAAUGCCACAGCCUUAUCCUGGUCUGGUACAGAUAUCCUCCUCCUCUGGGACUGCAUUAAAAACAUAUUUACAUAUCUGUAUAA